rnacentral:rRNA from 1 species
AGCGAACGCUGGCGGCAGGCCUAACACAUGCAAGUCGAACGAUCCUUCGGGAUAGUGGCGGACGGGUAAGUAACACGUGGGAACGUGCCUUUUGGUUCGGAACAACUCAGGGAAACUUGAGCUAAUACCGGAUGUGCCCUUCGGGGGAAAGAUUUAUCGCCAUUAGAGCGGCCCGCGUCUGAUUAGCUAGUUGGUGGGGUAAAGGCCUACCAAGGCGACGAUCAGUAGCUGGUCUGAGAUGAUGAUCAGCCACAUUGGGACUGAGACACGGCCCAAACUCCUACGGGAGGCAGCAGUGGGGAAUCUUGCGCAAUGGGCGAAAGCCUGACGCAGCCAUGCCGCGUGAAUGAUGAAGGUCUUAGGAUUGUAAAAUUCUUUCACCGGGGACGAUAAUGACGGUACCCGGAGAAGAAGCCCCGGCUAACUUCGUGCUAGCCGCCGCCGUAA